rnacentral:tRNA from 1 species
GCGGGGGUAGCCAAGCGGUAACGGCGCAGGGCUUAGGACCCUGUGGCGAAGGCCUUCGUGGGUUCGAAUCCCACCCCCCGCA